rnacentral:rRNA from 1 species
UACAGAGGGGGCAAGCGUUGUUCGGAAUUACUGGGCGUAAAGGGCGCGUAGGCGGCCUUCUAAGUCGAACGUGAAAUCCCCGGGCUCCAACCCGGGAACUGCGUCCGAUACUGGAAGGCUUGAAUCCGGGAGAGGGAUGUGGAAUUCCGACGUGUAGCAGUGAAAUGCGUAGAGAUGUGGAGGAAUACCGAUGGCGAAGGCAGCCCCCUGGGCCAAUACUGACCGCCUCAUGCACGAAAGCGUGGGGAGCAAACAGG